rnacentral:rRNA from 2 species
AACUUUCAACAACGGAUCUCUUGGUUCUGGCAUCGAUGAAGAACGCAGCGAAAUGCGAUAAGUAAUGUGAAUUGCAGAAUUCAGUGAAUCAUCGAAUCUUUGAACGCACAUUGCGCCCGGCAGUAAUCUGCCGGGCAUGCCUGUCCGAGCGUCAU